rnacentral:rRNA from 1 species
UACGAACUGUGCAAACGUUAUUCGGAAUUACUGGGCGUAAAGCGCACGUAGGCGGGUCGUUAAGUCAGGGGUGAAAUCCCGGAGCUCAACUCCGGAACUGCCUUUGAUACUGGCGAUCUAGAGAUCGGAAGAGGUGAGUGGAAUUCCCAGUGUAGAGGUGAAAUUCGUAGAUAUUGGGAAGAACACCAGUGGCGAAGGCGGCUAACUGGUCCGGUACUGACGCUGAGGUGCGAAAGCGUGGGGAGCAAACAGG